GUCUUUUCGGAAACAUACGAUAAAAUUGGAACAAUACAUAAAAGACUAGCAGAGCCCUGUGCAUACAUGACACAGACUAUUAGAGAUGGUGAAGCUAUGAAC